rnacentral:rRNA from 1 species
AGAGUUUGAUCCUGGCUCAGGACGAACGCUGGCGGCGUGCCUAAUACAUGCAAGUAGAACGCUGAAGAGAGGAGCUUGCUCUUCUUGGAUGAGUUGCGAACGGGUGAGUAACGCGUAGGUAACCUGCCUUGUAGCGGGGGAUAACUAUUGGAAACGAUAGCUAAUACCGCAUAACAAUGGAUGACACAUGUCAUUUAUUUGAAAGGAGCAAUUGCUCCACUACAAGAUGGACCUGCGUUGUAUUAGCUAGUAGGUGAGGUAAUGGCUCACCUAGGCGACGAUACAUAGCCGACCUGAGAGGGUGAUCGGCCACACUGGGACUGAGACACGGCCCAGACUCCUACGGGAGGCAGCAGUAGGGAAUCUUCGGCAAUGGGGGCAACCCUGACCGAGCAACGCCGCGUGAGUGAAGAAGGUUUUCGGAUCGUAAAGCUCUGUUGUAAGUCAAGAACGGGUGUGAGAGUGGAAAGUUCACACUGUGACGGUAGCUUACCAGAAAGGGACGGCUAACUACGUGCCAGCAGCCGCGGUAAUACGUAGGUCCCGAGCGUUGUCCGGAUUUAUUGGGCGUAAAGCGAGCGCAGGCGGUUUGAUAAGUCUGAAGUUAAAGGCUGUGGCUCAACCAUAGUUCGCUUUGGAAACUGUCAAACUUGAGUGCAGAAGGGGAGAGUGGAAUUCCAUGUGUAGCGGUGAAAUGCGUAGAUAUAUGGAGGAACACCGGUGGCGAAAGCGGCUCUCUGGUCUGUAACUGACGCUGAGGCUCGAAAGCGUGGGGAGCGAACAGGAUUAGAUACCCUGGUAGUCCACGCCGUAAACGAUGAGUGCUAGGUGUUGGAUCCUUUCCGGGAUUCAGUGCCGCAGCUAACGCAUUAAGCACUCCGCCUGGGGAGUACGACCGCAAGGUUGAAACUCAAAGGAAUUGACGGGGGCCCGCACAAGCAGUGGAGUAUGUGGUUUAAUUCGACGCAACGCGAAGAACCUUACCAAGUCUUGACAUCCUGCGACGGUGCUGGAAACAGUACUUUCCUUCGGGACGCAGAGACAGGUGGUGCAUGGUUGUCGUCAGCUCGUGUCGUGAGAUGUUGGGUUAAGUCC